rnacentral:rRNA from 1 species
AGUGAACGCUGGCGGCAGGCCUAACACAUGCAAGUCGAGCGGCAGCGCGUCCGACCACCCUCGGGUGGUCGGGUGGCGGCGAGCGGCGGACGGGUGAGGAAUGCAUCGGAAUCUGCCUCGUUGUGGGGGAUAACGUAGGGAAACUUACGCUAAUACCGCAUACGACCUACGGGUGAAAGUGGGGGACCUUCGGGCCUCACGCGAUGAGAUGAGCCGAUGCCGGAUUAGCUAGUUGGCGGGGUAAAGGCCCACCAAGGCGACGAUCCGUAGCUGGUCUGAGAGGAUGAUCAGCCACACUGGAACUGAGACACGGUCCAGACUCCUACGGGAGGCAGCAGUGGGGAAUAUUGGACAAUGGGGGCAACCCCUGAUCCAGCCAUGCCGCGUGUGUGAAGAAGG